GAAGGUGUGUCGUGAGGCAUGCUGGAGGUAUCAGAAGUGCGAAUGCUGACAUAAGUAACGAUAAAGCGGGUGAAAAGCCCGCUCGCCGGAAGACCAAGGGUUCCUGUCCAACGUUAAUCGGGGCAGGGUGAGUCGACCCCUAAGGCGAGGCCGAAAGGCGUAGUCGAUGGGAAACGGGUUAAUAUUCCCGUACUUGGUGUUACUGCGAAGGGGGGACGGAGAAGGCUAUGUUGGCCGGGCGACGGUUGUCCCGGUUUAAGCGUGUAGGUGUGUGUUCCAGGUAAAUCCGGUUCACUUUAACACUGAGGCGUGACGACGAGGCACUACGGUGCUGAAGCAACAAAUGCCCUGCUUCCAGGAAAAGCCUCUAAGCAUCAGGUAACAUCAAAUCGUACCCCAAACCGACACAGGUGGUCAGGUAGAGAAUACCAAGGCGCUUGAGAGAACUCGGGUGAAGGAACUAGGCAAAAUGGUGCCGUAACUUCGGGAGAAGGCACGCUGACACGUAGGUGAAGUGAUUUACUCAUGGAGCUGAAGUCAGUCGAAGAUACCAGCUGGCUGCAACUGUUUAUUAAAAACACAGCACUGUGCAAACACGAAAGUGGACGUAUACGGUGUGACGCCUGCCCGGUGCCGGAAGGUUAAUUGAUGGGGUCAGCGCAAGCGAAGCUCCUGAUCGAAGCCCCGGUAAACGGCGGCCGUAACUAUAACGGUCCUAAGGUAGCGAAAUUCCUUGUCGGGUAAGUUCCGACCUGCACGAAUGGCGUAAUGAUGGCCAGGCUGUCUCCACCCGAGACUCAGUGAAAUUGAACUCGCUGUGAAGAUGCAGUGUACCCGCGGCAAGACGGAAAGACCCCGUGAACCUUUACUAUAGCUUGACACUGAACAUUGAGCCUUGAUGUGUAGGAUAGGUGGGAGGCUUUGAAGUGUGGACGCCAGUCUGCAUGGAGCCGACCUUGAAAUACCACCCUUUAAUGUUUGAUGUUCUAACGUGGACCCGUUACCCGGGUUGCGGACAGUGUCUGGUGGGUAGUUUGACUGGGGCGGUCUCCUCCUAAAGAGUAACGGAGGAGCACGAAGGUUGGCUAAUCCUGGUCGGACAUCAGGAGGUUAGUGCAAUGGCAUAAGCCAGCUUGACUGCGAGCGUGACGGCGCGAGCAGGUGCGAAAGCAGGUCAUAGUGAUCCGGUGGUUCUGAAUGGAAGGGCCAUCGCUCAACGGAUAAAAGGUACUCCGGGGAUAACAGGCUGAUACCGCCCAAGAGUUCAUAUCGACGGCGGUGUUUGGCACCUCGAUGUCGGCUCAUCACAUCCUGGGGCUGAAGUAGGUCCCAAGGGUAUGGCUGUUCGCCAUUUAAAGUGGUACGCGAGCUGGGUUUAGAACGUCGUGAGACAGUUCGGUCCCUAUCUGCCGUGGGCGCUGGAGAACUGAGGGGGGCUGCUCCUAGUACGAGAGGACCGGAGUGGACGCAUCACUGGUGUUCGGGUUGUCAUGCCAAUGGCACUGCCCGGUAGCUAAAUGCGGAAGAGAUAAGUGCUGAAAGCAUCUAAGCACGAAACUUGCCCCGAGAUGAGUUCUCCCUGAGACUUAGAGUCUCCUGAAGGAACGUUGAAGACGACGACGUUGAUAG
rnacentral:rRNA from 1 species